UACGAAGGGUGCAAGCGUUACUCGGAAUUACUGGGCGUAAAGCGUGCGUAGGCGGCUUUGUAAGUUAGAGGUGAAAGCCCGGAGCUCAACUCCGGAACUGCCUUUAAGACUGCAUCGCUUGAAUCCAGGAGAGGUGAGUGGAAUUCCGAGUGUAGAGGUGAAAUUCGUAGAUAUUCGGAAGAACACCAGUGGCGAAGGCGGCUCACUGGACUGGUAUUGACGCUGAGGUGCGAAAGCGUGGGGAGCAAACAGG
rnacentral:rRNA from 1 species